rnacentral:rRNA from 1 species
GACGAACGCUGGCGGCGUGCCUAAUACAUGCAAGUUGAGCGCUGAAGGUUGGUACUUGUACCAACUGGAUGAGCAGCGAACGGCUGAGUAACGCGUGGGGAAUCUGCCUUUGAGCGGGGGACAACAUUUGGAAACGAAUGCUAAUACCGCAUAAAAACUUUAAACACAAGUUUUAAGUUUGAAAGAUGCAAUUGCAUCACUCAAAGAUGAUCCCGCGUUGUAUUAGCUAGUUGGUGAGGUAAAGGCUCACCAAGGCGAUGAUACAUAGCCGACCUGAGAGGGUGAUCGGCCACAUUGGGACUGAGACACGGCCCAAACUCCUACGGGAGGCAGCAGUAGGGAAUCUUCGGCAAUGGACGAAAGUCUGACCGAGCAACGCCGCGUGAGUGAAGAAGGUUUUCGGAUCGUAAAACUCUGUUGGUAGAGAAGAACGUUGGUGAGAGUGGAAAGCUCAUCAAGUGACGGUAACUACCCAGAAAGGGACGGCUAACUACGUG